UUUACCUGGGAGUGGGAUAACAGUGGGAAACUGCCGCUAAUACCGCAUAAUGCUGAGAAGCUAAAAAGUGAAAACUGCCAAAAGAGAGGCUUGCGUCUGAUUAGCUAGUUGGUGAGGGUAAUGGCCUCCCAAGGCGACGAUCAGUAGCUGGUCUGAGAGGAUGAUCAGCCACACUGGGACUGAGACACGGCCCAGACUCCUACGGGAGGCAGCAGUGAGGAAUUUUCCACAAUGCCCUAACGGGUGAUGGAGCAAUACCGUGUGAAGGAAGACAGCCCGUGGGUUGUAAACUUCUUUUCUCAGGGAAGAAUAAAUGACGGUACCUGAGGAAUAAGCACCGGCUAACUCUGUGCCAGCAGCCGCGGUAAUACAGGGGGUGCAAGCGUUGUCCGGAAUGAUUGGGCGUAAAGCGUUCGUAGGUGGUCGUUAAAGUCUUCUGUCAAAUCCCAAAGCUCAACUUUGGACAGGCAGUAGAGUACUUAAAGACUUGAGAACGGAAGAAGUAGAGGGAAUUCCCUUUGGAGCGGUGAAAUGCAUAGAUAUAGGGAGGAACACCAGCGGCGAAAGCGCUCUACUAGGCCGUAUCUGACACUGAGGGACGACAGCUAGAGGAGAGAAAAGGAUUAGAUACCCUUGUAUUUCUAGCCGUAAACGAUGGAUACUAAGUAUCGGUAAACCGGUGCCGUAGCUUACGCGUUAAGUAUCCCGCCUGGGGAGUAUGCUCGCAAGAGUGAAACUCAAAGGAAUUGACGGGAAUUGGCACAAGCGGUGGAUUUUGUGGUUUAAUUUGAUUCUACGCGGAGAACCUUACCAGGGAUUGACAUGUCAAGAAUAAUCUAGAAAUAGAUUAGUGCUUUCUAUUUUAGAAGUAGAAAGAACUUGAACACAGGUGGUGCAUGGCUGUCGUCAGCUCGUGCCGUGAGGUGUUUAGUUAAGUCUAUUAACGAGCGCAACCCUUGUCUUUAGUUAACAUCUUUAAAGAGACUGCCGAAGCAAUUCGGAGGAAGGAGAGGAUGACGUCAAGUCAGCAUGCCCCUUACAUCCUGGGCUACACACGCAAUACAAUGGUUGAGACAAUCGGCAGCGAACUCGCGAGAGGAAGCGAAUCUGGUAAACUCAAUCUCAGUUCGGAUUGUAGGCCGCAACUCGCCUACAUGAAGUUGGAAUCGCUAGUAAUCGCCGGUCCGCUAUACGGCGGUGAAUACGUUCCCCAAUUUUGUACAUACCGCCCGUCACGCGGGAAAAGUCGGAAACACCCGAAAGAGUUAACUCUAACAGUACCGCCAACGGCGACUGAAGAGGGCUACUACGGGAAGCUGGCAAUUCGUGCGAAGUCGUAACAAGG
rnacentral:rRNA from 1 species